UGGGCGGACAAAUAACUCAACGAUUUUACAGAAAAUCGAAAUAUUCAAAACAUUUGUGUUUUUUCUUCUCCAGUGUGGCUCUGGUAAAAUACAAUCUUCCCAACGAGAGCAUCGACCGAGGUCUUCUUGACCGAAUCGAUGCCACAUGGUGGGGCAGCCGAUUCCCUGAAAGUAAAUGACUCCCUGCCUCCUCAGGAGUUCAUCCGUGGUUCUUCACUGAUCUGAAUGUGACUCACUCUAUGAGUACGGUAGAGAAACGCACUCAUGAAUACCCUGUGACCGCCUAAAGGGUUAACUCAGAAGGCAGAGGGGAAGCGUCCAGCUAAAACCACAGGCCUUUCGGUUUUCCCUCACCAAGUACCUUCUCCCCAAGUCAAAACAGAGCCUUUGUCUCCCUCUGUCUGCUGUUCUGGGUACUGCACAAUGGCUCCCAGCUGGUCCGCAUCAAGAACAAGUCCAACUGAUUCCAAUCACACACCUGGAUAAUGUGCUUGGACUGUAAGGGUACAUAUAUAUUUGAUAUACCAUAACUUAAACAUAAUGCUACAGUAUAAUCUCUUAACCAGUGUGGAUUCAAUUAUUGUUAUCUUUAUUAAUACGGAGUAUAAUGAGUGGAUUAUCUUUAUACAAUAACUGUAUUAAUGUGUAUAAUUGUCAAUGGUGCAUAUGGUACAUAUAAUUUAUUUGUACUUAAAUAGAAUGAAAAGUAUGAUUCUGAUCGCUUAACAUUGUUAAGCCUGCUAACUACGUCAAAAUGAAUACGUAUUUGAACUUGUUGUUGUGAAUGAAGUAAUGAAAUGCAGUCAAAUCACUGUGAUUACACUGUAAGAUAUACAGGGAAAAACGAACAUUUGAAAUAUAAUGUGAUGAUAUUGAUUUAGCCUCAUAGGUUUGGAUGCCUCCAAGUGUCUAGUUAUUUCUAGGAUUGUUGAAGCCAGUAUGGAUAAUAGUGUUGAUCUUAACAUCUUAAACUUUUGACCUGUCAUAUAACCUCAAGAGAAUAAAGUCUGUAUUCCAGAUAGCCGAUUUCCUUUUACAGUCUUGGUUGACAAGGUGAGCUGCUCGCAU
rnacentral:lncRNA from 1 species